UCAACGGAGAGUUUGAUCCUGGCUCAGGACGAACGCUGGCGGCGUGCUUAACACAUGCAAGUCGAACGGUGAAAGGGAGCUUGCUCCCUGGAUCAGUGGCGAACGGGUGAGUAACACGUGAGCAACCUACCCUUGACUCUGGGAUAACAGUUGGAAACAGCUGCUAAUACCGGAUACGACCCUGGCGGGCAUCUGCCGGGGUGGAAAGCUCCGACGGUCAGGGAUGGGCUCGCGGCCUAUCAGCUUGUUGGCGGGGUAACGGCCCACCAAGGCGACGACGGGUAGCCGGCCUGAGAGGGCGA
rnacentral:rRNA from 1 species